UAGCGUAGGGGGCAAGCGUUGUCCGGAAUCGAUUGGGCGUAAAGCGCGUGUAGGCGGUUCGGUAAGUCUGCUGUGAAAGUCCAGGGCUCAACCCUGGGAUGCCCGGUGGAUACUGUCGGACUAGAGUACGGAAGAGGCGAGUGGAAUUCCCGGUGUAGCGGUGAAAUGCGCAGAUAUCGGGAGGAACACCAAUUGCGAGGCACUCGCUGGGACGGUCACUGACGCUGAGACGCGAAGCGUGGGAGCAACAGG
rnacentral:rRNA from 1 species